UACGAGAGGCCCAAACGUUAUUCGGAUUUACUGGGCUUAAAGAGUUCGUAGGCGGCGCAGAAAGUAGGGUGUGAAAGCCCUCGGCUUAACCGAGGAAUUGCGCUCUAAACUACUGUGCUUGAGGAACCUAGAGGUGAGCAGAACUGAUGGUGGAGCGGUGAGAUGCGUUGAUAUCAUCAGGAAUACCGGAGGCGAAGGCGGCUCACUGGGGGUUAUCUGACGCUGAGGAACGAAAGCCAGGGGAGCGAACGGG
rnacentral:rRNA from 1 species